AUCAGCGCUGGCGGCGUGCCCUCAGACAUGCAAGUCGAACGCGAAAGUUCCCUUCGGGGAGCAAGUAGAGUGGCGCACGGGUGAGUAACACGUAGGUAAUCUACCUUUGGAUGGGGAAUAACAACCGGAAACGGUUGCUAAUACCGCAUAAUGCAGCGGCACCUAAUGGUGACAGGUUGUUUAAAGCGGGGGAUCGUAAGACCUCGCGUCUGAAGAGGAGCCUGCGGCAGAUUAGCUAGUUGGUAAGGUAACGGCUUACCCAAGGCGAUGAUCUGUAGCCGGCCUGAGAGGGCGGUCGGCCACACUGACACUGACAUUACGGGUCAGACUCCUACGGGAGGCAGCAGUCGGGAAUUUUGGGCAAUGGGCGAAAGCCUGACCCAGCAAACGCCGCGUGAAGGAUGAAAUCCCUCGGGAUGUAAACUUCGCAAGAACGGGAAGAAUAAGGAAGAGUUAACACCUCUUUCGAUGACGGUACUGUUUGUAAGCUCCGGCCAACUCCGUGCCCAGGCAGCCGCGGUAAUACGGGGGGAGCAAGCGUUGUUCGGAUUUUACUGGGCGUAAAGGGGCGCGUUAGGCGGCCACUGCAAGUCGGUUUGUGAAAUCUCCGGGCUUAACCCGGAGAGGGUCAACCGAUACUGCAGGGCUAGAGUGCGGAAGGGGGCAACUGGAAUUCUCGGUGUAGCGGUGAAAAUGCGUAGAUAUCGAGAGGGAACAACCUGCGGCGAAGGCGGGUUUGCUGGGGCCGACACUGACGCUGAUGUGGCGAAAAGCUGGGGGAGCGAACGGGAUUAGAUACCCCGGUAGGUCCUAGGCCUUAAACGAUGAAUGCUUGGUGUCUGGGGUUUAUAGUCCCCGGGUGCCGUCGCCUAACGCUUUAAGAGCAUUCCGCCUGGGGAAGUACGGUCGCAAGAUUGAAACUCAAAGGAAUUGGCGGGGGUCCGCACAAGCGGUGGAGCAUGUGGUUUAAUUCGAUGAUACGCGAGGAACCUUACCCUGGGCUAGGAUGUCGGCACGACAGAGGGUGAAAGCUCUCCUUUAUAGCAAUAUACGUGUGAUAAGGUGCUGCAUGGCUGUCGUCAGCUCGUGCCGUGAGGUGUUGGGUUAAGUCCCCGCAACGAGCGCAACCCCCAUCACUAGUUGCCAUCAGGUAACGCUGGGAACUCUAGUGAAACUGGCCGUCGUGUAAGACGCGAGGAAGGAGGGGAUGAUGUCAAGUCAUCAUGGCCUUUAUGCCCAGGGCUACACACGUGCUACAAUGGGACGUAACAAAGAGCAGCAACACAGCGAUGUGAAGCCAAUCUCAAAAAAACGUCUCUCAGUUCAGAUUGGAGUCUGCAACUCGACUCCAUGAAGCUGGAAUCGCUAGUAAUCGUAUAUCAGCAAUGAUACGGUGAAUACGUUUCCCGGACCUUGCACACACCGCCCGUCAAGCCAUGGAAGCCGGGUUGUACCUAAAGUCGGUAACCGUUAAGGAGGCCGCCUAGGGUAAAACUGGUGACUGGGGGCUAAGUCG
rnacentral:rRNA from 1 species